rnacentral:tRNA from 1 species
AAUUAUAUAGUCAAUAUAUGACGUUGAAUUGCAAAUUCAAGGGAGAAAUGAUUUUCUAUAAUUU